GUUAAGAUGGCAGAGCCCGGUAAUUGCAUAAACUUAAACUUUACUACCAGAGGUUCAACUCCUCUUCUUAAC
rnacentral:tRNA from 1 species